rnacentral:rRNA from 1 species
GAUGAACGCUAGCGGCAGGCCUAAUACAUGCAAGUCGAACGGUGUCUUCGGACACAGUGGCGCACGGGUGCGUAACACAUACACAGCCUGCCUUAUACUGGGGGAUAGCCCUGGGAAACUAGGAUUAAUACCCCAUAAUAUAUUGAAAAGGCAUCUUUUUAAUAUUAAAACUCCGGUGGUAUAAGAUGGGUGUGCGUCUGAUUAGCUAGUUGGCGAGGUAACGGCUCACCAAGGCAACGAUCAGUAACUGGUCUGAGAGGAUGAUCAGUCACACGGGCACUGAGACACGGGCCCGACUCCUACGGGAGGCAGCAGUAGGGAAUAUUGGACAAUGGGCGCAAGCCUGAUCCAGCCAUCCCGCGUGAAGGAUUAAGGCCCUCUGGGUUGUAAACUUCUUUUUUUUGGGAAUAAAAACCGGAAUUCAUUUCGGCUUGAAGGUGCCAGAAGAAUAAGCACCGGCUAACUCCGUGCCAGCCGCCGCCGUAAAAC